rnacentral:rRNA from 1 species
CCGAUCUUAGUGGCGGACGGGUGAGUAACGCGUGGGUAACCUGCCUUAUACAGGGGGAUAACACUUAGAAAUAGGUGCUAAUACCGCAUAAGCGCACGGGGCUGCAUGGCCCAGUGUGAAAAACUCCGGUGGUAUAAGAUGGACCCGCGUCUGAUUAGCUUGUUGGCGGGGUAACGGCCCACCAAGGCGACGAUCAGUAGCCGGCCUGAGAGGGUGGACGGCCACAUUGGGACUGAGACACGGCCCAAACUCCUACGGAAGGCAGCAG